rnacentral:rRNA from 1 species
CCUACGGGGUGCUGCAGUAGGGAAUCUUCCACAAUGGGCGAAAGCCUGAUGGAGCAACGCCGCGUGGGUGAAGAAGGUCUUCGGAUCGUAAAACCCUGUUGUUAGAGAAGAAAGUGCGUGAGAGUAACUGUUCACGUUUCGACGGUAUCUAACCAGAAAGCCACGGCUAACUACGUGCCAGCAGCCGCGGUAAUACGUAGGUGGCAAGCGUUAUCCGGAUUUAUUGGGCGUAAAGGGAACGCAGGCGGUCUUUUAAGUCUGAUGUGAAAGCCUUCGGCUUAACCGGAGUAGUGCAUUGGAAACUGGGAGACUGGAGUGCAGAAGAGGAGAGUGGAACUCCAUGUGUAGCGGUGAAAUGCGUAGAUAUAUGGAAGAACACCAGUGGCGAAAGCGGCUCUCUGGUCUGUAACUGACGCUGAGGUUCGAAAGCGUGGGUAGCAAACAGGAUUAGAUACCCUAGUAGUC